rnacentral:rRNA from 1 species
GGACAGAGGGUGCAAACGUUGUUCGGAAUUACUGGGCGUAAAGCGUGUGUAGGCGGCCAUGUAAGUCAGGUGUGAAAGCCCCGGGCUCAACCCGGGAAGUGCGCUUGAUACUGCGUGGCUUGAGUACUGGAGAGGUUGGUGGAAUUCUCGGUGUAGAGGUGAAAUUCGUAGAUAUCGAGAGGAACACCGGUGGCGAAGGCGGCCAACUGGACAGAUACAUGCGCUGAGACACGAAAGCGUGGGGAGCAAACAGG